rnacentral:rRNA from 1 species
UACGAAGGGGGCUAGCGUUGCUCGGAACCACUGGGCGUAAAGGGUGCGUAGGCGGGUCUUUAAGUCAGGGGUGAAAUCCUGGAGCUCAACUCCAGAACUGCCUUUGAUACUGAGGAUCUUGAGUUCGGGAGAGGUGAGUGGAACUGCGAGUGUAGAGGUGAAAUUCGUAGAUAUUCGCAAGAACACCAGUGGCGAAGGCGGCUCACUGGCCCGAUACUGACGCUGAGGCACGAAAGCGUGGGGAGCAGACAGG